rnacentral:rRNA from 1 species
GACGAACGCUGGCGGCGUGCCUAAUACAUGCAAGUCGAGCGGAACUGGGGGAGCUUGCUCCUUCCAGUUUAGCGGCGGACGGGUGAGUAACACGUGGGCAACCUGCCCUGCAGAUCGGGAUAACUCCGGGAAACCGGUGCUAAUACCGCAUAGUUUGGCGCCUCUCCUGAGGCGCCACGGAAAUACGGUUUCGGCUGUCACUGCGGGCUGGGCCCGCGGCGCAUUAGCUAGUUGGUGGGGUAACGGCCCACCAAGGCGACGAUGCGUAGCCGACCUGAGAGGGUGACCGGCCACACUGGGACUGAGACACGGCCCAGACUCCUACGGGAGGCAGCAGUAGGGAAUCUUCCGCAAUGGACGCAAGUCUGACGGAGCAACGCCGCGUGAGUGACGAAGGUUUUCGGAUCGUAAAACUCUGUUGUGAGGGAAGAACACGUACCAACUAACUAUUGGUACCUUGACGGUACCUCACCAGAAAGCCACGGCUAACUACGUGCCAGCCGCCGCGGUAA